rnacentral:snoRNA from 2 species
AAGAGAUAUGAUGAUGUUUAUCCAUCAAUUCUGCAAUAGAAUGAUGAUUACUAACAUGCACUACCAUCUGAUCUCUU